rnacentral:tRNA from 1 species
UGAUGUAGCUCAGGGGUAGAGCACUUGCUUGGUAAGUAAGAGGUCACGGGUUCAAUUCCCGUCAUUA